CUUACUGUUGCUCUUCUGCGCAAUAUGAAACAGAUAUGAGAGAGAGAGAGAGAGAGAGAGAGAGAGAGAGAGAGAGAUGCAGGAAAAUACAGUUGGGUGUGAGUGAGCAAGGGUUUAAGACAUAGAGAGAGAUGUGCAUUAUGCUGCUGCAGCAUUACGCUCACUAAACGGUUUGUGGCUCAGCCUGCCUGACAACCCCUGCAGCACAAACGAGAGAGAGAGAGAGAGAGAGAGAGAGAGAGAGAGAGAGAGCGAGCGUGCAAAAGACAGAGAGAGUGUGUGAGAGGGAACUGACAAAGGAGGGUGGGCAGGCUCAUUUGGCCGCUGCGGGGCUGCGUAGCAGAAGCAACGCAGCACUCUCCGGUGGCACACACUUGCACCAGCACAGACCCAGCAGCCGAGUCCUGGACCACCGGCCAUGGCACAAGCCGCCAAACACCUGCGUAAGAACAAGGAUUUAGAGGCUCUUGCUGAGCAAGAGAGGAAAGAAAAGGAGGAGGAGAGAGUGAAGAAGAGGAGUCGCUCACGGGACAAAAAGCGCAAGGCCCACGCUGUUCACCGCUGGCUAAUCGAUCAGGACAAUAGUGUGAACUCUGAGCCGCCGGAUGGCCAGGGAGUGUGGCACUAUGAUGAAACAGUAAAUAUCUGCAACACGUAUAUCUUUUUUUCCUUCUUCUUAAUUUUUUUUCUUCUGUGUACAUAUAUCUAUGCCCAUUGCGUAUCUGCCUCUAGAUACGCCUUUGUCAUUGUUAGUGUUUUUGUUUGUGUGUGUAUGUGUGUGUGUGUGUGUGUGUGUGUGUGUGUGAUUUUUUAAAAUGCCAUCUGCCCAUUGGUUGCUUCUUGUGCCGUUGAUGUGUAGCUUUAGUUUUCUUUAGAAGUGCUGUGUUGCUAGUGUGCUAUUGGGCUGGCUGAUUUACUAACUUUAGAUGUGGUUGUGGUUUCAAGUCAGACACUUUUUUGUUGUUGUUGUAAUUUUCUAUGUUUUACUUGGUCAUAUUUGUGGAACAAAUUCAGUUAUCUGAUUUUGUUGAGAUUUCAUUUUGAUUUUUGAUGUGACUGUGUGUCGUUUUUCUUCAUAUUUAAAAACAAUGUAUAUAUACAUAUAUAUACAUCAGGGGUGUCCAAUCUUAUCCGGAAAGGGCCGGUGUGGGAGAAGGUUUUCACUCCAACCAAGCAGGAGCACACCUGAUUCCACCUGUUUAAUCAGUUGAUCUUGGCUUUCACUAGAUUCAGGUGUGGCUUCUGUUUGGUUGGAAUGAAAACCUGCACCCACACCGGCCCACACAAGAUUGGACACCUCUGAUAUACAUAACCACACAGCAAAAGAAAGAGUCCACGGGCAAAAUAUUACCCUUAACUUUACUGCAGUUCCCGCUUAUGCGAAUGUAUGAAAAAAAUACAUGAAACUACAUGAAACUACAGUUCAUGAUCAUUAGAAUAUGUUAUUAUAUCAUUUCUUUAUUUUUCCUGUGGGUUCUUCAUCUUUCCAAUUUGCUGUCUUCACACUGUGCUAACACACUUUAACGUAGUGCUCACACAUAGUCUGUGGUUCUAAACACCAAUGCAUGCACUGAUGUGUGUUGUUGUUCAUACACUAUCCAUAUUCCUUCGUGCUGUGUUUGUAACUAGAAAGAGCUGAAUCUGAGUGGUGAGUGAGGUUCAGUUUCGUGUGAUGUUCUUUAUUAGUGAUUCACUCGUUACCUUUUCAUUUCAUAUUGUGUGUGUGUGUGUGUGUGUGUGUGUGUGGUGUGGUGUUUUGUCUGUUUCACAUGUUUUUUGUUGUUGAUAUUUAGUCUUCACUCAAACUGUAAAACAUUGUAGUGCUUUGUCAGUCACCAACUGUGGUAAGUGGGGAAAUUUCCUGAAAACACAGUAGUUUGUCAGGUGUCACUCCAAUAUUUGAGAGUUAUCUGAGAAAACAGAAAAAGAAAAAGAAAAAAAACAGCUAUCUAAACAUAUGAACACACAUGCAUUGGAAACUCAUUUAGAAUAUUUACACAUAUUUACACAUUUAGAAUACAAACAAAUCCAAGUUUGCUAUGUUUUAUAAUAUUAAACCUCUCUCAAAACAAGUUUUCAUUUAGACCAAUGGCCUGCCACAAUGCACUCAGCUGGCUCCCUCUCCAUGUGUUACUCAUUCUAAGCGCUACGUGGAAAGGGUCAGGGAUAGGUGUUCACUGAUUCUCCUAUCCAGUCAUUUAAGUGCAUUGGGCUAUGGCAAAUAAUCAUUCUUAUUUAUAGACUGUGUACACUUUUCUACAUGUACACUGUUUGUUUCGUGUAACUGAGCAGGAAUGAAUAAGUAGUACUAUAUUAACCCCCAAGUCACAGCUAAUUAAUAUGGCUAAUUACUCAGUAUGUAAUAUGGUAAAUGAUCUGCACUUAUAUAGCACUUUCUUUUUUUUAACCUUAGCAGUUCUACAAAGUUCUUUACACUGGUUCUCAUUCACCCAUUCACACACACACACACACACACACACACACACACACACACACCAUCAUUAGCAGAGCUGCCAUGCAAGGCGCUAACUUGCCACGAGGACCAACUUGGGGUUCAGUGUCUUGCCCAAGGACACUUCGGCAUGUGGAGUCAUGUGGGCCUGGACUCGAACCGUCAACCCUACGAUUAACGGACAACCCGCUCUACUACCUGAGCCACAGCCGUCCUUUACUUUAAUAAUGAAGUCAUGAUUUGGUAGUUUAUUAUGAACUAAGUAAUAAUUACAGAUGCUGCAUCCAAAAUUGCGUGUUGUUACAGUACGUACUGCAUUCGAUUCAGUACCCACAGCUCGGUCGCUGAUACAGUACAUACUGAUCAGUAUAUGUGUGUAGUAUGAAUACAAUCCGGACGUAUGUGAGCUACGAUGUCAUCAUAACCGCAAAGCUUAAAGAGCCCACCAGAUUAGAACAAAAAAACAUCCUAACACUUAAAAAGAGCCGACGCACUGCCUUCUGCCAUUUUUUAUUCUGACAGCUCUUCCACGCCAGUCCUGUUGCCUUAUGGGAUAGCGCAGUGUCUAUUGGUUCCCUGCUGCAGAAUCUCAGCGGAAGCAGCAGGACAUCUGGGUAUUUCUCGCCUACUGUUUUAUGAAUUCUGACAAUUCGGACAACCUUUGGCGUACUGCUUUCCAACUACAGUAUAGCAGGGUUAGGAGGGUUCCUUUAAAAAUGUAUAAGGUUACAUUUACAAAUUACUUCAUAAAAAACGUCAUUAGUAACGUAAUCCAAGUAUCACAAUAUAUGAAAGUAAUGUAAUCAGAUUAUUUUUGUAUUAAUUUAAGGUCACAUAUGUAAAUAAAGUCAAGAGGAAAACUAUAUGAUCUCAAAUACUUUUAUUUAGAGCUUCAAACAUUCAGUGUUUGGAUUUGUUUUAAUAAAAUAAAUGCAGGUGUUGCUCAGGUGAGUCACAGCUGGCGAGAGAGAACCAGAACUAUAAUCCAGCAGCUGUCUAUGUAUUGUGUCAUAUCAAAAGAUUAACUUCUUUGGUUUUAAAUGAAAAAAAAUUGUAAUCCUGAU
ensembl:lncRNA